UACGUAGGGUGCGAGCGUUGUCCGGAAUUAUUGGGCGUAAAGAGCUCGUAGGCGGUUUGUCGCGUCUGCUGAUGAAAACGCGGGGCUCAACUCCGCGCCUGCAGUGGGUACGGGCAGACUAGAGUGCAGUAGGGGAGACUGGAAUUCCUGGUGUAGCGGUGGAAUGCGCAGAUAUCAGGAGGAACACCGGUGGGCGAAGGCGGGUCUCUGGGCUGUAACUGACGCUGGAGGAGCGAAAGCGUGGGGAGCGAACAGGA
rnacentral:rRNA from 1 species